rnacentral:rRNA from 1 species
CACUCCUACGGGAGGCAGCAGUGGGGAAUAUUGCACAAUGGGCGCAAGCCUGAUGCAGCGACGCCGCGUGGGGGAUGAAGGCCUUCGGGUUGUAAACUCCUUUCGCUAGGGACGAAGCUUUUUUGUGACGGUACCUAGAUAAGAAGCACCGGCUAACUACGUGCCAGCAGCCGCGGUAAUACGUAGGGUGCGAGCGUUGUCCGGAAUUACUGGGCGUAAAGGGCUCGUAGGUGGUUUGUCGCGUCGUCUGUGAAAUUCUGGGGCUUAACUCCGGGCGUGCAGGCGAUACGGGCAUAACUUGAGUGCUGUAGGGGUAACUGGAAUUCCUGGUGUAGCGGUGAAAUGCGCAGAUAUCAGGAGGAACACCGAUGGCGAAGGCAGGUUACUGGGCAGUUACUGACGCUGAGGAGCGAAAGCAUGGGUAGCGAACAGGAUUAGAUACCCCAGUAGUCCCAUGAU